rnacentral:snRNA from 1 species
GCGCUUAAGCGCGCGACC